rnacentral:rRNA from 1 species
UACAGAGGGUGCGAGCGUUAAUCGGAAUUACUGGGCGUAAAGCGUGCGUAGACGGUUAUUUAAGUCGGGUGUGAAAGCCCCGGGCUCAACCUGGGAAUUGCAUUCGAGACUGAAUAGCUAGGGUACGGUAGAGGGAAGUGGAAUUUCCGGUGUAGCGGUGAAAUGCGUAGAUAUCGGAAGGAACAUCAGUGGCGAAGGCGGGUUGCUGGGCUGACACUGACGCUGAACUGCGAAAGCUAGGGGAGCGAACGGG